UACGAAGGGGGCUAGCGUUGCUCGGAAUCACUGGGCGUAAAGCGCACGUAGGCGGCUUGUUAAGUCAGGGGUGAAAUCCUGGAGCUCAACUCCAGAACUGCCUUUGAUACUGGCGAGCUUGAGUUCGGGAGAGGUGAGUGGAACUGCGAGUGUAGAGGUGAAAUUCGUAGAUAUUCGCAAGAACACCAGUGGCGAAGGCGGCUCACUGGGCCCCGAUACUGACGCUGAGACGCGAAAGCGUGGGGAGCAACAGGG
rnacentral:rRNA from 1 species